AACGAACGCUGGCGGCAGGCCUAACACAUGCAAGUCGAACGCGCGUAGCGAUACGCGAGUGGCGCACGGGUGAGUAACACGUGGGAAUCAACCCUGAGGUUCGGAAUAACCGCGGGAAACUGCGGCUAAUACCGGAUGUCCCCUAUGGGGGAAAGAUUUAUCGCCUUGGGACGAGCCCGCGUCCGAUUAGCUAGUUGGUGAGGUAAUGGCUCACCAAGGCUAUGAUCGGUAGCUGGUCUGAGAGGAUGACCAGCCACACUGGAACUGAGAUACGGUCCAGACUCCUACGGGAGGCAGCAGUGGGGAAUAUUGGGCAAUGGAGGCAACUCUGACCCAGCCAUGCCGCGUGGGUGACGAAGGUCUUCGGAUUGUAAAGCCCUUUCGGCGGAGACGAUGAUGACGGUAUCCGCAGAAGAAGCCCCGGCUAACUUCGUGCCAGCAGCCGCCGU
rnacentral:rRNA from 1 species